UAGGGAAUCUUCGGCAAUGGGGGGAACCCUGACCGAGCAACGCCGCGCGAGUGAAGAAGGUUUUCGGAUCGUAAAGCUCUGUUGUUAAGGAAGAACGAGUGUGAGAAUGGAAAGUUCAUACUGUGACGGUACUUAACCAGAAAGGGACGGCUAACUACGUGCCAGCAGCCGCGGUAAUACGUAGGUCCCGAGCGUUGUCCGGAUUUAUUGGGCGUAAAGCGAGCGCAGGCGGUUAGAAAAGUCUGAAGGGAAAGGCAGUGGCUCAACCAUUGUAGGCUUUGGAAACUGUGUAACUUGAGUGCAGAAGGGGAGAGUGGAAUUCCAUGUGUAGCGGUGAAAUGCGUAGAUAUAUGGAGGAACACCAGUGGCGAAGGCGACUCUCUGGUCUGUAACUGACGCUGAGGCUCGAAAGCGUGGGUAGCAAACAGG
rnacentral:rRNA from 1 species